rnacentral:misc_RNA from 1 species
UUUCCGUAGGUGAACCUGCGGAAGGAUCAUUAGAGAAAUUUAGAAAGUGUUUGAUAUUACUAGAAUGGUUAGGAUAAUUAAUCCUAACCAACUAGCAAAGAAAUAUUUAAUAUUAUACCACAAUAACAUUUUACAUGAGCACCUUGCAGCAAUGGAUCUCUCGGCUCUU